rnacentral:rRNA from 1 species
UACGGGGGGAGCAAGCGUUGUUCGGAUUUACUGGGCGUAAAGGGCGCGUAGGCGGCCACCGCAAGUCGGUUGUGAAAUCUCCGGGCUUAACCCGGAAAGGUCAACCGAUACUGCGGGGCUAGAGUGCAGAAGGGGCAACUGGAAUUCUCGGUGUAGCGGUGAAAUGCGUAGAUAUCGAGAGGAACACCUGCGGCGAAGGCGGGUUGCUGGGCUGACACUGACGCUGAGGCGCGAAAGCGUGGGGAGCGAACAGG